CGGUGAGUUACACUUCGGCACAUAUAAGGUACCGCCGCGGUGGCGCCGACGGUGGUGAAUUUUGCGACUCCCGCAUAGCCUCUUGCAAUCUGGCGGGACGCCGAUCGAUUUGCACAGUGCUCCUCAUCCGCGACACGAUUCCAUUUCGGUUCAUUUCGUAACUCGCGAGACAGUACGCAAUUGUACAAUAAAAAUAUUCCGCACAGAUCGAGAUUUACGGCGCGGGAAGGUUUCCGACGGGCCCGACAUGGAAGAUUCGGCUCUAUGCAUCCUGUUGUCGCGGAUAAAGAAUAACUGGACUGACUGAUCGUAUAAAAUGGUGCUAAAGGGGACACAAGGGGGAAGACGAAGAGGAAGAAACACGAGGGGAGAAGAAUGGUGCUAUGGAAUGGCUAGGGGAAUGAGAGGAAAGGGAAAGAUGCCGGCUGGCAAGCAGAUGGUUGCCCCGUUUAUUGGUUUAUUCGUCGGUUCAGCCAUGACGUUCCGUCUAGCCAUGAAACAAGACCGGAGGUUCUCCUUGUGUUAGAGAGUAUCAAGUAACAAGACCACGACUACUCUUUCUAUUAAAAAUGCAUCCAAGAGCCAUUUGCUCAUGUUGCAUUGGCGAGGAUAUAAAAGCAAUUUCGGCGGUGACGUGUAAACGUGCAGGAACAUAUAGAUGAAAUCCAGUAAUGGCGUCCUAGGGGCGGACGAAAUGUUCGGGUCGAUAGAAGGAAGGCUACCCACGGAGCUCAAAUACUCUCUCAUCUUAUUGCCGACAAUCAUCCCCACCAACAGCUCUUCAGCGACUCAUUGUUAGAGAUAUAAUCGGCAAUUAUCUGAAAUAAUUGCAUGCAAACGAUCUGCUCGCUCGUGUCAUGACCAAGUAACCUGGAAAUGAAAGGUACGUCGACACACGUACAGGAAUAAAAGGAGCUGUACCGCUAAGAAGACGAAGAAGAAGAAGAAGAAAACCAAGGAGAACGCGACCUUGCUACAUUCAGCUGUGUCAUUCUCAAGCCGUUAACGCUCAGGUGGUUUCGAUCCCAGGGACGAGCAUCAAUCAUCAUCGGUAGUGCAGGUGUAAUGUGAUCAUUGUCACUGAGAUAACCCAGUACGAUAUUCAUUUAUGAAGCGUGUUAAGUGACAUAACAGAGUUUAUCUGUAACAGCGUAUCUAAAUACUUUGUGAAAGAAGCGACUUCAAUAUUAGUACCUUGAUAACAUGCAAUUUGUUGGGGCAGAUCGUUGUCGGAUCAAAGCCAUUACGAAACAAUUAUUCAUUCAUAUUUAACGAAAAUGGAAAGGUUUUAUGAUGUAAAAACAUAGUAGCGGAGAUACGCUAAUUAAAGUUAAAACAUAAUUGCGGUCACGCGAAUACACAGAGUAAGGAAAAUAAAGAAUAGCAAAUUUUUCCGAUUU